rnacentral:lncRNA from 1 species
AGCUUGCUGUUUAGAAACUGAAAAAGGGAAGGAACCGAAAGGGAAAGGUUACCUCCCUGUUUCUCUCCGGGACCCAUCAAGAUAUCUCUGCCUCUAAUAAUCGCCUGGAUAGAAAUUUCCAUCUUAGCCCAAAGCAGCUCAACCUGGUUUUGACUAACGCCCCAUCUCCCUUUUUUUGUGUUCCUCUAAGUCAACAAGAGGACCUGGACGAGUCAGACCCUGUGUGGGAAGAUUGGAGAAAAGAAGGAAGGCAUAUAGAAGCAGAGUUGAGUGAAUCUAGCAUGUCAACUUGUCUCUAUGAACUGAAGAGUCAGGAAAAAUCCCCCUUCAAUGUCAAUGCAAAAGUAUCUGAAGACUUUAAAAUACCGGGCACACCAAAGCCAUUGGAAGAGGAAGAGGCAAACAACAAAAACCCCACCACCUGACAGUUCUGGUGAUGACGUGGACCAGCCAGGGCUCAAGUAUCUACUAAUGGAAGGCUAAGCAGGUGCAGCACCCUGGAGGACUGUUUGGUACUUUCUGCUGAACCUAAACAAAUGAAUACCCCAUCACCCAACAGUUUCUCUCCUACCUCAAACCCAAGGGAAAUGAACACAUGUGUGUUCCUGAUGCAUGCAAGAGUGCUCCAAGCAGCACUAUCUGUAAUGGUUCCCAACUAGAGACUGCUCAAAUGUCUAUUAUUGGAAGACUGGAUAAAGAUUGCAGUGUAGGUCAUAAUGAGUAAAUUGUGACAAACUACACUAUAGAAGAAUCUGAAUCUCACAAGCCAAAUACUGAACCUGGACACACACACACACACACACACACACAUAAAUUAAAGUUUUAUUUCUGAAAAUCUUCUGCUGGGCAAAAUUAUCAUGUAGUUUUGUUUCUGAAAAUCUUCUGCUGGGCAAAAUUAUCAUGUGGUAUUAGCUGCUAUAGUAAUGUUCGCCUUGGAGGGAUGUAGUGUGCUUAAAAAGACCAUGUAAGAGCUUUUCUUUUAAAGUUUUUUUUUAAUAUAUACUUUUCAGAGUUUCAUGCAGAAUUUUA